CUCUGCUAUUAUAAAAAAUUGGUGACAGCAAGAAAUUGUAUCACUGAUAUGUGGAAUUUUUGUAAAUAGUUUUCUCUCCAAAUCAUUAGAAAAAUGUUCAAAAAUAAAAACAAAAUAAAAUAUGGUGGUGGUCCCUAAACUAUUUUGAAGGCAGGUAGCUUAGUCUAAGCUAAAAUAUUUUUUUCAUUCAUAGCAAUAAUCCUCCCCUCAAAUGCCCUUUAAAAAAAUGCAUGAAACCGUACAAUAGCAAAAAUCAAAGAGCACAGACUGUAUUUUCAAGAACAGAAAAAUCUCUAAUGCUGAAAGAUAUAGUAGAAAGCAGAUUUCUUUGGGGACAUUAAUCAAUUAGUUUAUAAUUCAUUAUGAAGAUUUCUCUUUUUUAUUCCGGG
rnacentral:lncRNA from 1 species